ACGAACGCUGGCGGCGUGGAUAAGACAUGCAAGUCGAACGAGAGAAUUGCUAGCUUGCUAAUAAUUCUCUAGUGGCGCACGGGUGAGUAACACGUGAGUAACCUGCCCCCGAGAGCGGGAUAGCCCUGGGAAACUGGGAUUAAUACCGCAUAGUAUCGAAAGAUUAAAGCAGCAAUGCGCUUGGGGAUGGGCUCGCGGCCUAUUAGUUAGUUGGUGAGGUAACGGCUCACCAAGGCGAUGACGGGUAGCCGGUCUGAGAGGAUGUCCGGCCACACUGGAACUGAGACACGGUCCAGACACCUACGGGUGGCAGCAGUCGAGAAUCAUUCACAAUGGGGGAAACCCUGAUGGUGCGACGCCGCGUGGGGGAAUGAAGGUCUUCGGAUUGUAAACCCCUGUCAUGUGGGAGCAAAUUAAAAAGAUAGUACCACAAGAGGAAGAGACGGCUAACUCUGUGCCAGCAGCCGCGGUAAUACAGAGGUCUCAAGCGUUGUUCGGAAUCACUGGGCGUAAAGCGUGCGUAGGCUGUUUCGUAAGUUGUGUGUGAAAGGCGCGGGCUCAACCCGCGGACGGCACAUGAUACUGCGAGACUAGAGUAAUGGAGGGGGAACCGGAAUUCUCGGUGUAGCAGUGAAAUGCGUAGAUAUCGAGAGGAACACUCGUGGCGAAGGCGGGUUCCUGGACAUUAACUGACGCUGAGGCACGAAGGCCAGGGGAGCGAAAGGGAUUAGAUACCCCUGUAGUCCUGGCAGUAAACGGUGCACGCUUGGUGUGCGGGGAAUCGACCCCCUGCGUGCCGGAGCUAACGCGUUAAGCGUGCCGCCUGGGGAGUACGGUCGCAAGAUUAAAACUCAAAGAAAUUGACGGGGACCCGCACAAGCGGUGGAGUAUGUGGCUUAAUUCGAUGCAACGCGAAGAACCUUACCUGGGCUUGACAUGUAAUGAACAACAUGUGAAAGCAUGCGACUCUUCGGAGGCGUUACACAGGUGCUGCAUGGCCGUCGUCAGCUCGUGUCGUGAGAUGUUUGGUUAAGUCCAGCAACGAGCGCAACCCCUGUUGCCAGUUACCAGCACGUGAAGGUGGGGACUCUGGCGAGACUGCCCAGAUCAACUGGGAGGAAGGUGGGGACGACGUCAGGUCAGUAUGGCCCUUAUGCCCAGGGCUGCACACGUACUACAAUGCCCAGUACAGAGGGGGCCGAAGCCGCGAGGCGGAGGAAAUCCUAAAAACUGGGCCCAGUUCGGACUGUAGGCUGCAACCCGCCUACACGAAGCCGGAAUCGCUAGUAAUGGCGCAUCAGCUACGGCGCCGUGAAUACGUUCCCGGGUCUUGUACACACCGCCCGUCACAUCAUGGAAGCCGGUCGCACCCGAAGUAUCUGAAGCCAACCGCAAGGAGGCAGGGUCCUAAGGUGAGACUGGUAACUGGGAUG
rnacentral:rRNA from 1 species